AGAGCAUUUCGGCUAAGAUCAAGUGUAGUAUCUGUUCUUAUCAGUUUAAUAUUUGAUAUGUGGGCUCAGGUGUUGCACUACAGCCCAGGCAGGCGCACCCCAACCAAAACUAGCUUAAAUUUUUUGAGUUCCUUCAAAAUCAAAGUUCAAAUGUUUUCAAGUUUAUGAUUAUGAAAAUCUGCCUGGGCCUCUCUCACUGCACGGUUCAGAUUUUGCUGU
rnacentral:snRNA from 1 species